rnacentral:lncRNA from 1 species
GAAUUUUUAAAAUGAAUUUUAAAAGGGAAAUAAAAGAGAAAAUCCAUAAAGCCAUUCAAAACACCAAAUUGAUGACCAAAAAAAUUAUGAAAGAUUGGAAAUAAAAUAAGAGACAUAAAAUAUAUUUUUUUUGAAUUUAAAAAUGCAUAAAAUUAUUUUUAAAACAAUUAAAAUAAAGAAGAAAAGAAGAAAAAAAGAAAAAAAAGAAAAUCAAGAAAAUAAAAUAUGGAAAAAUAAAAAUCAGAUGAAGAAAAA